rnacentral:rRNA from 1 species
AACGAACGCUGGCGGCAUGCCUAACACAUGCCAGUCGAACGAGACCUUCGGGUCUAGUGGCGCACGGGUGCGUAACGCGUGGGAACCUGCCCUUAGGUUCGGAAUAACUCCCCGAAAGGGGUGCUAAUACCGGAUAAUGUCUUCGGACCAAAGAUUUAUCGCCUUUGGAUGGGCCCGCGUUGGAUUAGCUAGUUGGUAGGGUAAAAGCCUACCAAGGCGACGAUCCAUAGCUGGUCUGAGAGGAUGAUCAGCCACACUGGGACUGAGACACGGCCCAGACUCCUACGGGAGGCAGCAGUGGGGAAUAUUGGACAAUGGGCGAGAGCCUGAUCCAGCAAGGCCGCGUGAGUGAUGAAGGCCUUAGGGUUGUAAAGCUCUUUUAACCGGGAUGAUAAUGACAGUACCGGGAGAAUAAGCACCGGCUAACUCCGUG